GGAUCAUCAGGUAGGUCGUGUCACUGGUAUGUACUUGCCUUGAUGGUUCCUCCCUCUUGAAGAACCGUAAUGUCAUUAAUUUGGUGUUGCGGGGAAUCAGGACUGUUACUUUGAAAAAAUUAGAGUGUUUAAAGCAGGCUCACGCUUGAAUACAUUAGCAUGGAAUAAUAGAAUAGGACU
rnacentral:rRNA from 1 species